rnacentral:rRNA from 1 species
AGAGAGGGCCAUAGACUUGGCAGAGCAGUGCACCCUUUGCGCUGUCUGGUGCGUUUCCUUCGACCCUUGAAAAUCUGAGGGAACUUUGAUCGCUUGCUAGGCCGUACCCACAACCGCAUCAGGUCUCCAAGGUUAGCAGCCUCUAGUGCUUAGAAUAAUGUAGGUAAGGGAAUUCGGCAAAUUCGAUCUGUAACUUCGGGAUAAAGAUUGGCUCUGAGGGUCAGGCUGUAAGCG